rnacentral:rRNA from 1 species
UAAUACGGAGGAUGCAAGCGUUAUCCGGAUUCAUUGGGUUUAAAGGGUGCGUAGGCGGCUUUUUAAGUCAGUGGUGAAAUCCUGUCGCUCAACGAUAGAAUUGCCAUUGAUACUGAAGAGCUUGAGUACAAUUGAGGUAAGCGGAAUGUGUAGUGUAGCGGUGAAAUGCUUAGAUAUUACACAGAACACCAAUUGCGAAGGCAGCUUACUAAACUGUCACUGACGCUGAUGCACGAAAGCGUGGGGAGCGAACAGGAUUAGAUACCCUGGUAGUCCACGCCGUAAACGAUGAUCACUCGCUGUAUGCGAUACACAGUAUGCGGCCAAGCGAAAGCAUUAAGUGAUCCACCUGGGGAGUACGAUCGCAAGGUUGAAACUCAAAUGAAUUGACGG